rnacentral:rRNA from 1 species
GAUGAACGCUAGCUACAGGCUUAACACAUGCAAGUCGCGGGGCAGCAUGGGGGUUGCUUGCAACCCCUGAUGGCGACCGGCGCACGGGUGAGUAACGCGUAUCCAACCUGCCCUUCACCACGGGAUAACCCGGCGAAAGUCGGACUAAUACCGUAUGUUGUCCAUUGACGGCAUCCGAUUUGGACGAAAGACUUGGCGGUGAAAGGAUGGGGAUGCGUCCGAUUAGCUUGACGGCGGGGUAACGGCCCACCGUGGCUACGAUCGGUAGGGGUUCUGAGAGGAAGGUCCCCCACACUGGAACUGAGACACGGUCCAGACUCCUACGGGAGGCAGCAGUGAGGAAUAUUGGUCAAUGGGCGUAAGCCUGAACCAGCCAAGUAGCGUGCAGGAUGACGGCCCUAUGGGUUGUAAACUGCUUCUAUGCGGGGAUAAAGUGGCCCACGUGUGGGCUUUUGCAGGUACCGCAUGAAUAAGGACCGGCUAAUUCCGUG